rnacentral:rRNA from 1 species
AUACGGAGGAUGCAAGCGUUAUCCGGAUUUAUUGGGUUUAAAGGGUGCGUAGGCGGUUUGCUAAGCGGGAGGUGAAAUGCCGGCGCUCAACGUCGGAAGUGCCUCCCGAACUGGUGGACUGGAAUGACUCUGCCGUGGGAGGAAUGUGUAGUGGAGCGGUGAAAUGCUUAGAGAUUACACAGAACACCGAUUGCGAAGGCAUCUCACGAAGGGUUGAUUGACGCUGAGGCACGAAAGCGUGGGGAUCAAACAGGAUUAGAUACCCUGGUAGUCCACGCAGUAAACGAUGAUGGCUAACCGCUGGUUUAUUCGGAUCAGUGGCCAAGCGAAAGCGAUAAGCCAUCCACCUGGGGAGUACGACCGCAAGGUUGAAACUCAAAUGAAUUGGCGGGG